CUUUUAACCUUCUAGGAAAGAUUCUGGUUCCAUAAAACACAUAUUAAAGCAAUAAUCAAAAUAAAUAACAAGUUUAAUCUCAAAAGCAGAUAAGUUAAAGUACUGAAGGACUUACGAAAACAGAAGGUAAAAGGACACAGACAUCAAGUGGCAUUCUAAUGCAUGAUUACUAAUAAUCCAAGGGCAUAACUCGCUGAGUAAAAGAUAGGCAGGUCACUGCGAUGAACAAGGAAUGGGAAACUCUAAAGUAAAAGAUGAAGCUCUGCAUGCGAAAUGGUAUUAAGAAACUUUUGAACAACAGCAAAACUUUUGCUAUCCUUUACGAGGAUACGUUCGAUUUAACCAUUCAUUGUAAAGCUUCACCUGACGCACCAAUGAUUUUGUAAACGUUGUAUCAGAAAACAAUCCAGAAAACAUACUUCCAUAAUCAUUACGGACAGCGCAAAUCCAUAAAACACCCUCUUCCUUACCAUCUCCGUCCAGUUUCUUAGAAACAAAGUCAACAGAGUCAUAAAGAGCAACGACACCAUUCCCUCCUCCACUGGAGGAACCUGGAUAUGUAACUGGAGUUUGAAGAACAAUAAAAGAAUCCGGGUCCAGCAUCACAGAAACCACCAAUUGUCUGUAAACUCGAUUCCGAAAGAACCAAGGGGUUUUGUA